rnacentral:rRNA from 1 species
GACGAACGCUGGCGGCGUGCUUAACACAUGCAAGUCGAACGGAAAGGCCCUGCUUUUGUGGGGUGCUCGAGUGGCGAACGGGUGAGUAACACGUGAGUAACCUGCCCUUGACUUUGGGAUAACUUCAGGAAACUGGGGCUAAUACCGGAUAGGAGCUCUUGCUGCAUGGUGGGGGUUGGUAAGUUUCGGCGGUUGGGGAUGGUCUCGCGGCUUAUCAGCUUGUUGGUGGGGUAGUGGCUUACCAAGGCUUUGACGGGUAGCCGGCCUGGGAGGGUGACCGGCCACAUUGGGACUGAGGUACGGCCCAGACUCCUACGGGAGGCAGCAGUGGGGAAUAUUGCACAAUGAGCGGAAGCCUGAUGCAGCAGCGCCGCGUGCGGGAUGACGGCCUUCGGGGUGUAAACCGAUUUCGCCGGUGACGAAGCGUGAGUGACGGUAAUGGGUAAAGAAGCACCGGCUAACUACGUG